AUUCAUAUCAUUAUAACACGUGAACAAAACAUUGCAUAAAGUGUGAAUCUACACUUAAAAAGUUUUUCUUUAGGAACAUGAUUACUGCAUACAAGUUUUUCAUCCCAAAUUUGCAUUUCUCCAAGCGAGCACUAAGCAAGCAAGCUACCACGCCUUUCUUCUAUUCUUGAAGAACUCUAAUGUGACCUUAGUACUCCGUAAGACUGAAGCCAAUGAUGGUUAAAAAUCGACGUGGAGGAUGUAAACACCCAAUCACCACCGAUCAAAUGCAAAGAUUGAAAGGACAUCAUAAUUACGUAACAACAGCUUUCAAAAGAUUUCUCGGGAUUUAUUGGAAAAGUAACUAAUUAGUAGUAUGGUUUAUCUUUAUGUUAGGGUAUUUUUAAUACUAAUAUAUUAAGGUUUUAUAUUAGAAUAGGGAUUAUGAUGAUUUGUUGUUAGGGUUUAACAUUACUUUUGUUUAUAUCAUACUUCACCAAUCUCGAAACUAUCGAGUACCUGUCAACUUUAUACCUUCAAAGACCCGGAUUCAUGUUAAGGCAUCCAUGCUGAAGCACAAGGUUUUUCUCCAACCAAGAGGCUAAUCACAACACGACACAUGACAACAUAAGAAUAAAGCUUAUAGGGUCCCACAUCGACCGUGGACAAAAGCCGAAGACUCUCCUCAACUAUAAAAGGAGAUCAUUCUCAUACAAUUAAUCUUUAAUGUCAUUAUUCCACUUAAUCCAUUAUUAGAACUUACUAAUGAUGAUCAUAUUUGAACCUUUGUAUUAUGCAAACUCUACAUUAUUAAUGAG
rnacentral:sRNA from 1 species